UCUAUUCCGUUUGUUUUGUUGCUGUUACACGUGUGUUUUGUAGCCUAAGAGAGUUUACCCAGGAUCGGAUCCACUCUUUGCGUCCCUGGACUACACCUCUCCGUUCUUCGUGGCCUUUCUCCGCUGGAGAUCUGUUGGCGGAUUGGAUUGUCUGACUGACCGACUGACUACCACCUUUUUGUAUACGCGUGCACCUUUUGGUGUAUGCUUUGUACUUAGGCCCCUGCAAAGGAAGGAGGGAGACGGGACUAGUGUGACAGUUAUGGAGAAGACCAAAAGAAUGUGGAGGGGAGCAUGACAGAGUUAGAGCAAGGACCAAUGGAAGGUGGUCGGUGGCGAGUGAUGGUGUAUCUGAUUGGCUGUGGCAGCGGUAAUGGAGACAGUUGCCAACCUCUGCACCCUUGAUUGCUGACCCACAUCAGGUACCCAACAACAUCAGCAGAGGAACACUGAUGCCUUGUGCCAAAUCUGCAGACUUGUCGAGAGAACAUUUGGGCUUCUGAAGUUGAGGUUCAGAUGUCUGGACCACUCAGGAGGUGCCCUACAGUACUCGUCCACUCAGGAGGUGCCCUACAGUACUCGUCCACUCAGGAGGUGCCCUUACAGUACUCGUCCACUCAGGAGGUGCCCUACAGUACUCGUCCACUCAGGAGGUGCCCUACAGUAC